rnacentral:misc_RNA from 1 species
AAUUUUGCUUGUUUCUCGGAGUGGAUUUUGCCAGCUGUUUAUGCACGUAGGCGCGUUUUAAAAUUUGAUUAUCCGUUUGGUGGAUAAAAUAUCACUUGUGAUGUGGUCCGAUCGGGAUUUUAUUUUGGGCGUUACAUGACGCACAAAAUUUCCUAUUUUAUCCUGACAUUUUCUUUUUCUUUUAACAAAUCGCCAAUUUCUUUCCUCACAAAAGAAAUUCUUAUUGAUCGUCAAUUUCAUUCGCGAUAUUUUCUUGAUAUCAUUUGAAUAAUACUGUCGUCACUCCCGAUUUUAAAAAAGGCUAUUAGCGAUUUCUUCCUGUGGAGAUGUGUGAUGAGCGGAGUCACCAUGGUGGAGUGGAUAGGCUUUUCAGCCUAUUUCAAAUCGUUUGUCUACAAGUUUUAUUUUUUUUUUACCAUUUUGAAUCAAAUUAACGCGCUCGAGUCAGUUAUAGCAUCUUUUCUUUCCACAUAUCUAACGUAUUUCGGUUCACCUGCGUUUGGUAAAAUUGUAAAACGUGAAAAUAUUUGGUUCUUUUUUUUUACCGCGGUUAAAGUUAAUUCAUUAAUCAGCGGUUUAAAAUUUGUCUGCUACUGAUUUGAAUUACCGCGUUUCCUAUAACAACGGAAACGUUUCACCAGAAAGUACUCCACAUCCUUUGAUGGAUAAUUUGGAAAUCAAUUCGAGGGGUGUACACGUAUAAAAGAAUCAAGUUGGCGUUACAGUUAGACGAUGGAAACUACCAUGACGCCUUUCUAUAAUAUUUGAGAGCUUUGACAAAAAUGGAGAAAAUGAUGAAAGUAUUGCUUUUGGUAGUCGUCGUGGCUGUCGUACUCGAAACAGCAUCGACCUGCGACUGCGAUUACAGAAAGGGUGGCUGCCAUAUGGUGAGUCCAGCCAGUACAGGCAUGGCUUGCAAAUGCGUUUACAGAGGCGCAUGGAUAUGCCGAGGUCGUCAAGUGAGUUGCAGAGACCACAACCACCUUCUGUGCCAAAACCCCGACAAUUCAAAAGAGGCGUGCGAAUUUGCCAAUGGAGACUGCGGUGGUUAUAGUCCUCACAUAUCCGACUAAUUAUGGAACAUUCCGACAAAACUAAAUUCUUCAUCACAACACACAAUCUGCUUGUCACAUCACACAUAUUAUUCCAGAAAAUAAAAUGUUAUCAGCAGUCA